rnacentral:rRNA from 1 species
UAGAAUGAAAGGAAUAAUGAUUUAUCUACUGUCUCUUAUUAAUAGAUUCAAAUUAAACUCUUAGUAAAAAUACAAGAACCAAUAAGCAGGACGACAAGACCCUACCGAACUUCAAUUAAAAAUUUUACUGGGGCGGUUAAAAACUAAAUCUUUUCCCAACCCACUAAUCCAAGCUAUAAACGAAUAAAAACAAGUUACCGUAGGGAUAACAGCACAAUAAUUUACUAAAGCUCCUAUAAAAUAAGUUGAUUAUGACCUCGAUGUUGAAUUA